GGGCCGUUAGCUCAGUUGGUUAGAGCAGCGGACUCAUAAUCAAGUGGUCUGUGGCGUUAAUGACACAUGCUGUCGAGUUAGCAUCGGCCUA
rnacentral:tRNA from 1 species